UAGGGAAUAUUGGACAAUGGGUGAGAGCCUGAUCCAGCCAUGCCGCGUGCAGGAAGAAGGCGUUAUGCGUUGUAAACUGCUUUUGCCAGGGGAUAAAAAGACCGUGCGCGGUUAAUUGAAGGUACCUGGUGAAUAAGCCACGGCUAACUACGUGCCAGCAGCCGCGGUAAUACGUAGGUGGCAAGCGUUGUCCGGAUUUAUUGGGUUUAAAGGGUGCGUAGGUGGCCCUGUAAGUCAGUGGUGAAAUAUCUCAGCUUAACUGAGAGGGUGCCAUUGAUACUGCAGGGCUUGAGUACAGAUGAGGUAGGCGGAAUUGACGGUGUAGCGGUGAAAUGCAUAGAUAUCGUCAAGAACACCGAUAGCGAAGGCAGCUUACCAAGCCGUAACUGACACUGAGGCGCGAAAGCGUGGGGAGCAAACAGGAUUAGAUACCCUCGUAGUCCCUGAGCGGGCUGGCAAGGCGCAU
rnacentral:rRNA from 1 species